rnacentral:rRNA from 1 species
AGUGAACGCUGGCGGUAGGCCUAACACAUGCAAGUCGAACGGCAGCACAGUAAGAGCUUGCUCUUACGGGUGGCGAGUGGCGGACGGGUGAGGAAUACAUCGGAAUCUACUUUUUCGUGGGGGAUAACGUAGGGAAACUUACGCUAAUACCGCAUACGACCUACGGGUGAAAGCAGGGGAUCUUCGGACCUUGCGCGAUUGAAUGAGCCGAUGUCGGAUUAGCUAGUUGGCGGGGUAAAGGCCCACCAAGGCGACGAUCCGUAGCUGGUCUGAGAGGAUGAUCGGCCACACUGGAACUGAGACACGGUCCAGACUCCUACGGGAGGCAGCAGUGGGGAAUAUUGGACAAUGGGCGCAAGCCUGAUCCAGCCAUACCGCGUGGGUGAAGAAGGCCUUCGGGUUGUAAAGCCCUUUUGUUGGGAAAGAAAAGCAGCAGGUUAAUACCCCGCUGUUCUGACGGUACCCAAACAAUAAGCACCGGCUAACUUCGUG